GUUAAAGCUUUGAAUAGGAGUAGUAGAAGAGUGCAAUUUUUCAGAGAGUUAUCGUUUGGUGGAAGGUAAUAUUUGCUAACUUUGAACUCGCCUAGGAGCUCUUUCUUUGAAAUGAUAGUAGGAGAAAGCGGAUUGUUCCACGUUAUAGGAAGUUGAGUGCAUAUCGUUGUGAUAUGAAUUAGAGUGGUACCACGGAGAAUAGAUUACUUCGCCUCUUAC
rnacentral:ncRNA from 1 species